UCCGCGGGUAGAAAUUUACAGAUUGUGGGGCCGACAGCUAUUUGCUGGGCAAUUUGGGAACUUAAAAAUAGAGCUUGUUUUGACCAUAAACUUGUGAGACCUCCUGCUGAAUUACUUUGUUAUGCUUGCUCCUUUAUGUGGUAUUGGGGAGGUCUUCAGAAUAAGGAGGAAUGUGGAAUGCUGGAGCAAGGUGCAACUUAG
rnacentral:rRNA from 1 species